AUGGUAGGAAUUGGAGAACCCCAGGGGGAAGGGGCUUUUUGGUUUGUAACGACGCUGGGCGCGAAAGCGGGGGGGCAAACAGGAUUGGUACCCUGGUAGUCCCCCCCGUAAACGAUGAGUGCUAAGUUUAGAGGGUUUCCCCCCUUUAGUGCUGUAGCUAACCCCUUAACCCUUCGCCUGGGGGGUACGCUCCCAAGAGGGAAACUCAAAGGAAUUGACGGGGGCCCGCCCCAGCGGGGGGGCCUGUGGUUUAAUUUGAAGCAACGCGAAGAACCCUACCCGGUCCUGACAUCCCCUGACAACCCGGGGGAUUGGGCGUUCCCCCCUUCGGGGGGACAGGGUGACAGGUGGUGCAUGGUUGUCGUCAGCUCGUGUCGUGAGAUGUUGGGUUAAGUCCCGCAACGAGCGCAACCCUCGACCUUAGUUGCCAGCAUUCAGUUGGGCACUCUAAGGUGACUGCCGGCUAAAAGUCGGAGGAAGGUGGGGAUGACGUCAAAUCAUCAUGCCCCUUAUGACCUGGGCUACACACCUGCUCCAAUGGGCGGUACAAAGGGUCGCGAACCCGCGAGGGGGAGCCAAUCCCAAAAAGCCGCUCUCAGUUCGGAUUGCAGGCUGCAACUCGCCUGCAUGAAGCCGGAAUCGCUAGUAAUCGCGGAUCAGCAUGCCGCGGUGAAUACGUUCCCGGGCCUUGUACACACCGCCCGUCACACCACGAGAGUUUGCAACACCCGAAGUCGGUGAGGUAACCCC
rnacentral:rRNA from 1 species